UACAGAGGUCUCAAGCGUUGUUCGGAUUCAUUGGGCGUAAAGGGUGCGUAGGCGGCGCGGUAAGUCGGGUGUGAAAUCUUGGAGCUUAACUCCGAAACUGCAUUCGAUACUGCCGUGCUUGAGGACUGGAGAGGAGACUGGAAUUUACGGUGUAGCGGUGAAAUGCGUAGAUAUCGUAAGGAAGACCAGUGGCGAAGGCGGGUCUUCUGG
rnacentral:rRNA from 1 species